rnacentral:lncRNA from 1 species
AAUCGAGCUGUAACACUCAUCACUGCAGUCCACAGCUUCAUUUCUUGAAGCCUGUGAGACCACGAACCCUUCAAUCGAGAAAAACCUUCGAUAAGGAGAAGACUUCUCAUCUCAUUUCUGGGGUCUGGUCCGGGAUUUCUCCAAAGCGAAUAGAAUCCAUGAAGCUGCAAAUGGUUCUACAAAUGGAGCCCCAAGUGACCACCACUAGCACCUACUAUCAAGCACCCCUAGACCCACCCACCAACCUGUUCUCACACCACGACACCAAAGACUCCCCUCCUGAGGAAACCUCAACUGCAGUGCCCCUUCUACCCCCCAGUUCAGCAGGAAGUAGCUAGAACAAUCGUCAUCCAACUUCCCAACAGCACUUGGGCUUUCCUGUUGAAAGGGGGGACUGAGGGACUAAGUGGCUAAAUUGGCUGGACUUCCUGGGUCAAUAGGGACUUCCCUAAAGUGACUUUCCCCUAAGCCAAAAUGAGUCAUAGCUGCAAGCUAAGAGAUUAAAACUUCAACCAAUCAAAGGGGAUUUUCCCCUAAGCCAAAAUUAGUCAUAGCUGCAAGCUAAAGGGAUUGAAACUUCAACCAAUCAAAGGGGACUUUCCCCUAAGCCAAAAUGAGUCACAGCUACAAACUAAGGGAUUGAAACUUCAACCAAUCAUAUAGGGAGUUCAAGCUCUAGCUGCAGCCUGAUGUUUUUAACCAAUCAGGUCUGCCAACCCACAAGUGGAUAGAAAAUUAGCCAAUCCUAUAGGACAGAAAAAGAAAAGGGGAGGAGUCAUAAGGGGAUAUAAGCAUAAGACACCCAAGCCAAAAAACACAAUCCUUCUGGGUCCCCUUCCACCACAUGGAAGCUUUACUUUUGCGUUCCCUUUACUUUCCCUUUCGCUUUACUAAAUCUUGCUGCCAUAAAAAAAAAAAAAGAAUCCCAGCCUGGUACAGUGACUCACACCAAGGAAGGCAGAUCGAUUGAGACAAGGAGUUCAAGACCAGUGUGGGCAACAUGGCAAAACCCCAUCUCUACAAAAAAUACAAAAAAAAAAAAAAUAGCUGGGAGUGGUGGUAGGUGCCUGUAGUCCUAGCUACUCAGGAGGCUGAGGUGGGAGGAUCACUUGAGCCCAGGAGGUUGCAGUGAGCCGGGUUCAUUCCACUGCAUUCCAGCCUGGGCAACACAGCCAUAUCUUGGCUCAAAAAAAAAAAAAAAAAAAAAAACAAAAAAAAACAGAAGGCUAUAAUCUCAAGCACUUUGGGAGGCCAAGGCAGGCAAUCACAAGGUCAGGAGAUCAAGACCAUCCUGGCUAACAUGGUGAAACCCCGUCUCUGCUAAAAAUACAAAAAGUUAGCUGGGCGUGGUGGCGGGCGUCUGUAGUCCCAGCUACUCGGAAGGCUGAGGCAGGAGAAUGGCAUGAACCCGGGAGGCGGAGCUUUCAGCCAGCCGAGAUUGCACUACUGCACUCCUGCCUGGGUGACAGAGCAAGACUCCGUCAAAAAAAAUAAAAGAAAAGAAAAAAGAAAAAAGGGCAGGGCGUGGUGGUUCACGCCUGUAAUCCCAGCACUUUGGAAGGCCGAGGUGGGCAGAUCACUUGAGGUCAGGAGUUCAAGACCAGCCUGGCCAACAUGGUGAAACCCCAUCUCUACUAAAAAUACAAAAAAAUUAGCUGGGCACAGUGGCAGGCCCCUGUAAUCCCAGCUACUCAGGAGGCUGAGGCAGCAGAAUCGCUUGAACCCAGGAGGCCAAGGUUGAAGUGAGCCAAGAUUGCGCCGCUGCACUUCAGCCUGGGCAACAGAGCGAGACUCUGUCUCAAGAAAGAAAAGAAAAAAAAAUCCCAGAUGAAUUUUCUUUUUUUUUUUUUUUUUUUUUGAGACAGUAUCCCUGCCUCCCAGGCUGGAGUGCAGUGGCGCAAUCUCAGCUCACUGCAAGCUCCGCCUUCCAGGUUCAUGCCAUUCUCCUGCCUCAGCCUCCCGAGUAGCUGGGAUUACAGGUGCCCGCCACCAUGUCCAGCUAAUUUUUUGUAUUUUUAGUAGAGAUGGGGUUUAAACGUGUUAGCUAGUGUGGUCUCGAUCUCCUGACCUCGUGAUCCACUCGCCUUGGCCUCCCAAAGUGCUGGGAUUACAGGCGUGAGCCACCACGCCUGACCCUAGCUUAAUUUUCUUAAAAGGAAGCUGAAUUGGCAGAGUUGUCCCACAGUGGACUAAAACAGCCAGGCCUUUAUACCUCCACCUUGAUCACUGGAUGUAGGCUGUCCUGGUAAGGGUGCCCCACCUUAGUCACACAGGAAGCUGAUGCAGUCCCUGAAGACACUGCUAGCUGAAGGCUUUCCCCUCGUAGCACUCCCAGUAGUUGGGAAAACAAUUCCUUCACUGAAGUAGGGUCUGGACACCAUACUUGGUAUGUCUUCACAAAAUAUUUUUGUUUUUUUGUUUUUUUGAGACAGAGUCGCUCUGUCGCCCAAGCUGGAGUGCAGUGGCGUGAUCUCGGCUCACUGCAAGCUCCGCCUCCCAGGUUCACGCCAUUCUCCUGCCUCAGCCUCCCUACUAGCUGGGACUAUAGGUGCCCGCCACCACGUCUGGCUAAUUUUUUUUUAUUUUUAGUAGAGACGGGGUUUCACCGUGUUAGCCAGGAUAGUCUCAAUCUCCUGACCUCAUGAUACACUCGCCUCGGCCUCCCAAAGUGCUGGGAUUACAGGCGUGAGCCACCACGCCCAGCCCUUCCUCUAUCUUAAUAACACAGUGGUUAAACGCAACAGUACUGAAUUGUCUAGUUAGUUUAAUGUUAUGUAUUUCAUACACUAUUAACACUAGUAUGGGAAGCAUUUAUAAAAAUCAUGUACCAUUAAUUAAUUUUCUUUCACUUAAAAGUUAAAGCUUUGAGGAUUCUGUUUGAAAAUAUAUGUAAAAUGAUAAAGACCAAAUGUGUGUUAAUUCAAAUAUUUAAUUAAAGAAUAAAAUAAGAAUAAUGAG